AUUGAACGCUGGCGGCAUGCCUUACACAUGCAAGUCGAACGGCAGCACGGACUUCGGUCUGGUGGCGAGUGGCGAACGGGUGAGUAAUGUAUCGGAACGUACCUUUCAGUGGGGGAUAACGUAGCGAAAGUUACGCUAAUACCGCAUAUUCUGUGAGCAGGAAAGCAGGGGAUCGAAAGACCUUGCGCUGAUUGAGCGGCCGAUAUCAGAUUAGCUAGUUGGUGGGGUAAAGGCCUACCAAGGCGACGAUCUGUAGCGGGUCUGAGAGGAUGAUCCGCCACACUGGAACUGAGACACGGGCCAGACUCCUACGGGAGGCAGCAGUGGGGAAUUUUGGACAAUGGGGGCAACCCUGAUCCAGCCAUGCCGCGUGAGUGAAGAAGGCCUUCGGGUUGUAAAGCUCUUUCGGCCGGGAAGAAAUCGCAUAGGCUAAUACCCUGUGUGGAUGACGGUACCGGAAGAAGAAGCACCGGCUAACUACGUG
rnacentral:rRNA from 1 species